GCGUGCAGUGCAGCGUGCUGUGGUUAGCAGGCCGGCCCAUUCUAGCAACUUAGACCGCAACUCACCCCGCACGCCUCUUCUUCUUCUAUUUUCUUUUGUUUCUCAGCCGUGUUCUUCUGAACUUCUGUAGGAGCCGAACCCACGUCGAAUCGAAUCGAUCGAUCUGCUGCCCCUCGCCUUGUCCUGACUCCAUAUAAAUAAUCCCCUCGUUCUUCUCAUUCGGUUUUCACCAAAAUCGUCGCCUCCCGUGCCCUAAGACCUCGUCCCGAUCUGGCCGGAGUUAGCUGCAAGAGCUCCUGUCGCCGGUCAAGUUCGUCGCUGCCGGACGCAUCUAAACGACCGUACUGACCUCGACCCGAAGCUCAACUCCGCCGUCACCGCUCCAGCCGGUCACUGUCGCCACCGGAGCAAGCUCCAAUUGUGUCGGAGGUCACCCACUUCAUCUCCGUCGCGCUCUCCACUCGUAGGUCAUAUCUGUGUAGCCGGAGGCCCUUUGUAGCCGUCGCCCGUAUCACCACCGAGCCGCCGGCGCCGUCCUUCUCCAACUCCGACGACGCCCAGCUCUGUUCUCAGAUUGUCCGGAGUGUGAAGCGGAUCAGAAUUAAUCGUUAGAGUACUUCAACACCGUUCAAGGCAAGUUUGCACUUUUGAUUUUGCUUAUCCUAUAUUCUAGUAUGCAUGUGUGAUUUUUAUUCUAUGACAUGUGCUUGGUUUGACCUGUAUGUUCUCUGUUGUCAUAUUCUGAUAUUGAUUGUAUUAUGUGAUGGUGUGAUCAACUUGCCAUGGUAGACGUGGGAUGUGUUGAGUGAUCCAUGAAAGUGGUGAGUGUUUAUAGCCGUAGGCUCGGGAUUAUUAACCACGUGAAUGCAUCACUGGCAGAGCGCUCUAUUGUCCCUAGAGAAUGCGCCAUUGACAGAGCGCACUUGAGGCGAGGUUUAGUUUUCGGAACUUAAAUCAGGUGAAUGCGUCCUUGGCAGAGCGCUCUAUUGUUCCUAGAGAAUGCGCCACUGAUAGAGCGCAUUUGAGAUACUUCUGAAGUUCUUGUCAUGUUUACUUAGAAUCUUUGGGGUUAUCUUGGGUGAAUGAAUUAGGGGUGGUUGUGAGUUCAGGUAGUGGAGGUAGGUGAAGACUUUCUUCUCCAAAUUAACUUGAGUGUUUUGUUUGUCAUACUUUACUUGUGGAUGUAGGUUUGCUAUAUCUUAUUGUGUGAUUGGCCAAUACAUUCAAUGUAUUGACCCUUGUGGCUGCAACUUAUCAUGUUGGAGGAUUUUCAGAUGAUCAUUGAGAUACAGUAGGGUCGCGAGUCUUCACUCAACAUUUUUACCAGUGGGCAUUGACGGGACUCAUCGUCUAUUAUGCUACAUUUUCGCUGUUAUUAUUGAAUAAGUUAGCCAUGUGCUAUUCAGUUUGUAAUACUUUAUA